rnacentral:rRNA from 1 species
GGACUACCGGGGUAUCUAAUCCUGUUCGCUCCCCACGCUUUCGUGCCUCAGCGUCAGUUACAGCCUAGUUAGCUGCCUACGCAAUCGGAGUUCUUGAUUGUAUCUAUGCAUUUCACCGCUACACAAUCAAUUCCGCCAACCUCGUCUGUACUCAAGCCCGCCAGUAUCCAUGGCAGUUCUCCAGUUGAGCUGGAGGCUUUCACCACGGACUUAACGGGCCGCCUACGCACCCUUUAAACCCAAUAAAUCCGGACAACGCUUGCACCCUCCGUAUUACCGCGGCUGCUGGCAC